ensembl:lncRNA
GUUUAGUAUCCAGUUAUAACACAUGACUUUAGUUUAGUAUCCAGUUAUAACACAUGACUUUAGUUUAGUAUCCAGUUAUAACACAUGAAUUGAGUUUAGUAUCCAGUUAUAACACAUGACUUUAGUUUAGUAUCCAGUUAUAACACAUGACUUUAGUUUAGUAUCCAGUUAUAACACAUGACUUUAGUUUAGUAUCCAGUUAUAACACAUGACUUGAGUUUAGUAUCCAGUUAUAACACAUGACUUGAGUUUAGUAUCCAGUUAUAACACAUGACUUUAGUUUAGUAUCCAGUUAUUACACAUGACUUUAGUUUAGUAUCCAGUUAUAACACAUGACUUUAGUUUAGUAUCCAGUUAUUACACAUGAAUUGAGUUUAGCAACAAAAGCACAUGUAUAGAACAUGUAUGGACAUGUGUUUCAGGGACUUCAGGAGAACAACACAACAGACAACAGACAACGGUUCUGCAGGUAGUGGAGAACAACACAACAGACAACACAGACAACGGUUCUGUAGGUAGUGGAGAACAACACAACAGACAACACAGACGGUUCUGCAGGUAGUGGAGAACAACACAACAGACAACACAGACAACGGUUCUGUAGGUAGUGGAGAACAACACAACAGACAACACAGACGGUUCUGCAGGUAGUGGAGAACAACACAACAGACAACACAGACAACGGUUCUGUAGGUAGUGGAGAACAACACAACAGACAACACAGACAACGGUUCUGUAGGUAGUGGAGAACAACACAACAGACAACACAGACAACGGUUCUGUAGGUAGUGGAGAACAACACAACAGACAACACAGACAACGGUUCUGCAGGUACGACAUAUGAGUAGACAGUUUAAUAGAUCCUGUAUAUGCAAGCAUCAUAGCAUACCAGUGAUGAUACGGAAGGCAGUGGCAGGAAGAUCAGGUUAGAAACCUGCCCAGAUAAAUGGACUGAUUUGGUGUUCCUGUCUCCACUUGUCUCUUUAGUCUCUGCUAUUCCGAAAUGUCUGCAUGCUUUUCCAGCACUUUUUCAUGUCAACAUAGUUUAACACCAGAUUGCUGACUAACACCAAAAUGGUUAGUAUGGACAUAUUAGUCCUUGUGUGUAUCCUGUGGUCUGGGAAUUGGAGGGGUUAACACUUCCUGCCAAGCCACAUAUUUAAACUCUAUUCUUCAGUAGGUGCUACUCGAGAGCGGCGAGACUCAGAGCAAACAACUAGUAUUGUAAAGGGAUAAUCCCUAUGGAACACCUGCCAACAUCAUCUGUGUGCUUACAGUUGCUCAUAUUCCCUCUUUUUCUAAACGUGUUGGGAGAAUGACUCUUCAGUCACCGAUAUGUCACCGAUAUGACAUCACACUCUCCCUGGCGGCAGGGUAGCCUAGUGGUUAGAGCGUUGGACUAGUAACCGGAAGGUGGGUUCUGAUAUGCUAAAGAGAAGACCUGGCAACAUUCUCUAGUGGUUCUGAUAUGCUAAAGAGAACACCUGGCAACAUUCUCUAGUGGUUCUGAUAUGCUAAAGAGAACACCUGGCAACAUUCUCUAGUGGUUCUGAUAUGCUAAAGAGAACACC